UACGAAGGUCCCAAGCGUUGUUCGGAAUCACUGGGCGUAAAGGGUGCGUAGGCGGCGUGGUAAGUCAGAUGUGAAAUCCCGGGGCUCAACCUCGGAACUGCAUCCGAUACUGCCAUGCUAGAGGAUUGGAGAGGUAGCUGGAAUUCUUGGUGUAGCAGUGAAAUGCGUAGAGAUCAAGAGGAACACUCGUGGCGAAAGCGAGCUACUGGACAAUAACUGACGCUGAGGCUCGAAGGCUAGGGUAGCGAAAGGG
rnacentral:rRNA from 1 species